AGCAGUAGCCGCGGGAAUACGAAGGGGGCUAGCGUUGUUCGGAAUUACUGGGCGUAAAGCGCACGUAGGCGGAUAUUUAAGUCAGGGGUGAAAUCCCAGAGCUCAACUCUGGAACUGCCCUUGAUACUGGGUAUCUUGAGUAUGGAAGAGGUGAGUGGAAUUCCGAGUGUAGAGGUGAAAUUCGUAGAUAUUCGGAGGAACACCAGUGGCGAAGGCGGCUCACUGGUCCAUUACUGACGCUGAGGUGCGAAAGCGUGGGGAGCAAACAGGAUUAGAUACCCCCGUAGUCCCUGUCUCUUAUAC
rnacentral:rRNA from 1 species